AGGUCCUGCCUGCCCAGUGACUAUGUUAAACGGCCGCGGUAUUUUGACCGUGCAAAGGUAGCGCAAUCACUUGUCUUUUAAAUGAAGACCUGUAUGAAUGGUGAAACGAGGGCCUAACUGUCUCCCCCUUCAAGUCAAUGAAAUUGAUCUAUCCGUGCAAAAGCGGGUAUACAAAUACAAGACGAGAAGACCCUUUGGAGCUUAAGAUUAAAAAUCAACUAUAUCAAAUAUCCAUCGGAUAAAACCAAAUAGCGCCUGAUCAUAAUCUUCGGUUGGGGCGACCACGGAAUAAAAACAAACUUCCACAUGGACUGAGGACUAACCUUAAAACCAAGAAAGACAUUUCUAAGUCACAGAAUUUCUGACCACACAGAUCCGGCAAAUUGCCGAUCAAUGGACCAAGUUACCCUAGGGAUAACAGCGCAAUCCCCUUUUAGAGCUCCUAUCAACAAGGGGGUUUACGACCUCGAUGUUGGAUCAGGAC
rnacentral:rRNA from 1 species